rnacentral:rRNA from 1 species
GGCUUAGAGUUUGAUCCUGGCUCAGGGCGAACGCUGGCGGCGUGCCUUAGACAUGCAAGUCGAGCGAUAGGCAUCCUUCGGGGUGCUGAGAGCGGCGAACGGCGGAGUAACACGUGGGUAACCUGCCCCGAAGACAGGGACAACCCGGGGAAACUCGGGCUAAUACCGGAUGUGGAUGCGUGGGCUUCGGCUCGUGCAUCUAAAAGGGUUUCCGCUUCGGGAUGGGCCCGCGGCCUAUCAGGUAGUUGGUGAGGUAACGGCUCACCAAGCCUACGACGGGUAGCCGGUCUGAGAGGACGAUCGGCCCGAGGGGCACUGAGACACGGGCCCCACUCCUACGGGAGGCAGCAGUCGGGAAUUUUGGGCAAUGGGCGCAAGCCUGACCCAGCGACGCCGCGUGGAGGACGAAGCCCUUCGGGGUGUAAACUCCUUUUAGUGGGGACGAACGCAGACGGUACCCACAGAAAAAGCCCCGGCUAACUACGUGCCAGCAGCCGCGGUAAUACGUAGGGGGCGAGCGUUGCCCGAAUUUACUGGGCGUAAAGCGCACGUAGGCGGCUCCGUAAGUCUGGUGUGAAAUCUCACAGCUCAACCGAGAGGCUGCACCAGAUACUGCGGAGCUCGAGGGCGAGAGAGGAGAUUGGAAUUCCCGGUGUAGCGGUGAAAUGCAUUGAUAUCGGGAGGAACACCAGUGGCGAAGGCGGAUCUCUGGCUCGCUUCUGACGCUGAGGUGCGAAAGCUGGGGGAGCGAAAGGGAUUAGAUACCCCUGUAGUCCCAGCCCUAAACGAUGGGCGCUAGGUGUCGGGGGAUUAACCCUCGGUGCCGCAGCUAACGCAUAAGCGCCCCCGCCUGUAA